rnacentral:rRNA from 1 species
GAUCAUGGCUCAGGAUGAACGCUAGCGACAGGCUUAACACGUGCAAGUCGAGGGGCAGCACGGGAGUAGCAAUACGUUGGUGGCGACCGGCGCACGGGUGAGUAACGCGUAUGCAACCUACCUAUCAGGAGGGGAAUAACCCGGCGAAAGUCGGACUAAUACCGCAUAAAACAGGGGCACCGCAUGGUGAUAUUUGUUAAAGAAAUUCGCUGAUAGAUGGGCAUGCGUUCCAUUAGGUAGUUGGUGAGGUAACGGCUCACCAAGCCGACGAUGGAUAGGGGAACUGAGAGGUUGGUCCCCCACACUGGUACUGAGACACGGACCAGACUCCUACGGGAGGCAGCAGUGAGGAAUAUUGGUCAAUGGGCGGGAGCCUGAACCAGCCAAGUCGCGUGAAAGGAAGAAGGAUCUAUGGUUCGUAAACUUCUUUUGCAGGGGAAUAAAGUGCAGGACGUGUCCUGUUUUGUAUGUACCCUGAGAAUAAGGAUCGGCUAACUCCGUGCCAGCAGCUGC